AUUGAACGCUGGCGGCAUGCUUUACACAUGCAAGUCGGACGGCAGCACAGAGAAGCUUGCUUCUUGGGUGGCGAGUGGCGAACGGGUGAGUAACAUAUCGGAACGUACCGAGCAGUGGGGGAUAACUAAUCGAAAGAUUAGCUAAUACCGCAUAUUUACUGAGGAAGAAAGCAGGGGACCUUUGGGCCUUGCGCUGUUUGAGCGGCCGAUAUCUGAUUAGCUAGUUGGUGGGGUAAAGGCCUACCAAGGCGACGAUCAGUAGCGGGUCUGAGAGGAUGAUCCGCCACACUGGGACUGAGACACGGCCCAGACUCCUACGGGAGGCAGCAGUGGGGAAUUUUGGACAAUGGGCGCAAGCCUGAUCCAGCCAUGCCGCGUGUCUGAAGAAGGCCUUCGGGUUGUAAAGGACUUUUGUCAGGGAAGAAAAGGGCGGGGUUAAUACCCCUGUCUGAUGACGGUACCUGAAGAAUAAGCACCGGCUAACUACGUG
rnacentral:rRNA from 1 species